AGAAUCUGUACUUAUUUACUUGUUGCUGCACCAGUUCGUUUGCCUGCAUACAAUUCCUUUUCAACUUGUUUUCAUGUUGGGAGAUACAAUUCUGUAUUUACAUCUUAUAUUUCUAUCUACUGCUUAUUGGGAAGUUACAUUUUUGACAUUAUGCUCUAAUCAUUUUACACUGCAUGAAACAUUUUUAGAUCCCUAUGAUCCAUCCUUUGGAUGAAGAGAGGGAAAGGGGAAAAAAAGAUUAUCGAAGAUCUGAAUCUCUUGUGGUGAAGUUGCUGGUGAGCUCAAAUGUGUUGAUUAUGCUUCAUCAUGUCAUUGUAAAGGGUGUCUUAGCGUAUGAGGUUCCUGCCGGUUGCCACUGCAAGGUGUGGGGAAGUUAUGCUUCAUCAUGUCAUUGUAAAGGGUGUCCUAGUGUAUGAGGCUUCUGCCACUGCAGGGUGUGGGGAAGGUCAGAUGUUCGCAGCCUUGCCCCUACAUGCGGAAAGAACCUAUGCCAUGAGAGGCUCCCCGAGUCUCAAUCCUCUAGAAGACAAGAUCAAUUAGAGGCUACUGAGGAUGGUACAUACUAUUUCAAAGGGUGAUGAGAUCUGUUGACGGAUACUUGUGUGAGCAGCGCUCUCCAUGCCCACCCAAUUCUUUUAAGUACAGAGAGUAUGUGAGGCGGUACUUGGAGUGGACUACUAUCUAUCAGGAAGCUUCUCAUAGUAUCAACAAGAUCGGUGGAAUGCAUAUUUGCAAUCGUAAUUUGGACCACAUACUGGUGAGCAACUGGUACACCCUGUACGGAGUGUUGGUAUGGUACAUACCUCGGUGACACUAGAUAUGGGGGCAUACUGAGUCACAGUAUCCUAUUAGUCUGGUCAAGGGAGAGGCCCAGUAUCCCCAAAGCAGCCAUGGUUGGAUAUUGUCUGAAUGAAGAGACAAAAUUAGUCGGGAUGGAAAUGAUAUAUGAUAAGACAACCUCAUAAAGAAAGAGAGGAGCAUCAAGCACUUUAGAGUAAGGAAUUAUGUUUUCAAGAAUUAUAAGUGGCCCUUUUCCUGCUUUUUCUCACUCUCGAGCCGGACACAAUAUUUGUAGAAUGGCAGUUGGACAGAAGACUUCUGUUUCCACAACCCUGUAUUUGGUCGCAGUGGCACCAACUGAUGAUUAUUUGUACUCUUUUUCCACUGAAUUCAGGGGUGAACUAAUAUGGGCAAGUCACUCAGCCCAUUAGUGAAGCUCUUCUAGCUCAACCUCUAUCCUAAGCACCUAACUUAUCUCAAGCUUAUUUUUGUAAGACCACUUUCUUGAAAGUGAUAUUUUCAAUCUUCUGACCGGUAUGUGCUAAAAUGUGACCAAAAAAUAUCUGAUUAAACUUACUAUUUCUUUUGUAU